rnacentral:misc_RNA from 1 species
AAAACGUUGAAGCGUGGUGUACGUUAGUGUCUCGGUAUUGUUUGAAUGUAUUGACUGCUGUGGUGGCUUCAGUGGGACUCUGAUAGUUGUCGCAUAAAGGCGCGUUUGCAAAUACAGUAACAAAUACUGCCAACCCUCAAAAGUCGCUGUCGAAGCCGCCGCCGCCGUCGUCGUCGCUGCUGCUGUUGCGUCGUUACAGCAAAAACAAGUGCGCGAGUGUUGUAAAAUGUUUGUGAGCUGUGAAACGAGCGCAUUAGCGGCGCUGCUGCUGCUCUGCUGCUGCACAAUGCAUGCAGCUGCCGCUGAUUUGGUGGACAAAUUGCGGGACGAUUCCGAACUUUCGCAGAACACUGCCAAAUCCUUCAGGCGCCUUAUGCCAGUAAGGUUCUAUAGUCUGUUGGAGCAGAAUCCUGUUGCCAAUUCGACGCUCUCGCUGCGCUCCUGCACUAUCUUUGUGCCCACCAAUGAAGCCUUCCAGCGCCACAAGGGACCCACACAUGUCCUCUAUCACAUCACCACCGCGGCGUUCAGCAAAGAUCAACUGGAAAAGACCGUGUCAUCGGACAUGAACGGCAAUCCUCCGCUGUACAUCACAAAGAGCCGCAAUGGUGACAUCUACGUGAACAAUGCGCGCAUCAUACCCUCACUCAGCGUCGAGCUGACCGAUCGCGAGGGCAAGCGACAGGUCAUGCACAUUAUCGACGAGGUGCUAGAUCCACUCACUGCGCUGCCAACUGCCAAGACAGAAAUAAACAAUCUCGAUGCACUUCAAUUUAUACAAAAGGCUGAUCAGCUGAACGUGGGCGACAACAAACUGCGCACCUAUCGCUCCCAGGUUACGCUAAUGAAGAAGGAAUCGCUCUAUCAGGCGCCUGGGGCACACACCUUUCUGUUGCCCGUCGAUGAGGGCUUCAAGCUCUCGACCCGCAGCAGUUUGGUAGAUGGCAAGGUCAUCGAUGGUCAUGUUAUACCAAACACUGUCAUUUUCACUGCCGCCUCGCAACAUGACGAACCCAAGACUUCCGCUGCCUUCGAGGAUCAGCUCAAGGUCACAGUGAGCUUCUUCAAGCAGAAGGACGGCAAAAUGUAUGUCAAGUCCAAUACAAUUAUUGGCGAUGCUAAGCAUCCUCAGGGUGUGGUCCUGGCCGAGAUUGUCAAGGCCAAUAUACCUGUGAAAAACGGUGUGAUCCAUUUGAUCCAUCGUCCGCUCAUGAUCAUCGAUACGACUGUCACCCAAUUCCUACAGUCGUUCAAGUUUCUGAACGAUAACGGCGAGAAUGGAGCACUGCGCAAAUUCUACGAGGUGAUCAUGGACGCCGGUGGCGCAGUGCUGGAAGGCAUCAACAAUCUGUCUGAAGUGACCAUUUUGGCACCCAGCAAUGAGGCUUGGAACAUAUCUUCCAUUGACAAUAUUAUUAGGGAUCGCAAGAAGAUGACCGAUAUUCUGAAUAUGCACAUCAUCAAGGAUCGCUUGAAUGUCGAGAAGAUCAGACAGAAAAAUGCUAAUAUGAUUGCUCAGGUGCCAACGGUGAAUAAUAGAACGUUCCUUUACUUUAAUAUCAACGGCGACGAUGCUGAUGCUGUGAUCACUGUUGAAGGUGGUGGCGUUAACGCCACAGUGCUGCAGGCUGAUGUGGCACAAACCAAUGGCUAUGUGCAUAUCAUUGACCGUGUGCUAGGCGUGCCGCAUACUACUGUGCUGGGCAAGCUGGAAACCGAUCCCAUGAUGAGCGAUACCUACAAGAUGGGCGAGUUCUCGCACUUUAACGAUCAGCUGAACAAUACCCAACGCCGAUACACGUUCUUUGUGCCCCGCGACAAGGGUUGGCAGAAGACUGAACUGGAUUAUCCCUCGGCGCACAAGAAGCUCUUCAUGCGUGACUUCGCCUACCAUUCCAAGUACAUUUUGGAACGCCAUCUGGUCCUUGCGGAUCAUGUGUUUACCAUGAAAGAUCUUGCGCAAAUGUCACUUACCACAGACAACGUGGUGCUGCCCACACUCCGUGAUUCACUCAAAGUGAAGGUCGAGGAGGAGGCUGGACAUCUACAUGAUGAGUAUGCUAGUCACGAAUGGACUGGAUAUGUGCUCGUGUGGAAUUAUAAGAAGAUCAAUGUUUAUCGGCCAGAUGUUGAGUGCACCAAUGGCAUUAUACAUGUCAUCGACUAUCCGCUCCUGGAGGAGAAAGACAUUGUUGUGAGCGGAGGUUAGAUAUUGUAACUAGCCUGUGUGUGUGUGCUCACUACAAUAGCUGCGCGACAAAUUAAACUAUCAGCCCAAACGUACACACUAUCGACAAGAAUCACGCAACCAACCUACCAGACAAACCCCAACCACCCACUAUAUCAAAAUUGUAGCGAAAUGCAGUCAAAUUGUCGCACUGUGUAGUGGCCGAUCAUUCCAUAUCGAGACCGAUCGAUCGAUCAUUGAUCCCAGACCCUCCUCCAAGUUAUCUUUAGUAGGCGGCGUGGUCGCUGCAGCGUCGUUGCUUGUUUUGUAAUCAGUUUAGAUUUGCCAUAAGUGCAAUGUAUUAGCUAAAAACAAACAACAAAGAAAAACUAAAACUAAACGAAAAGAAUACGCUAAAUGAAAUUGUACACGAAAGCUUUAAAAUAUGAUCGGAAUAUGGAAGAGGGAUUUGUAUGUCGUAGUCAGUAGUUACACGUUAAGCAGCGCCCCUGACUUUGUCGGGAGAGGGGGCCCAAUGUGUAACUAGUGCCUUACUAAAGAUAAACGCAUUACCUUAACCUUUAUACAAAUUUACUCAUCAUAAACAUAAACUAAAAGAAAAGAAAAAAAGAAAAGAUAGCAGCCCAUGGAUAAUACAAAUGGCAAACGUUAAAAGCUAGCGAUUCAAGUCAAGCGUAUAAAAUUAAAAAAAUUAUAUUCAAAAAUUUAAGAGAUUAUAUUUACAUGCCCAAAUCCAUAUAUAUGUAGCAGGCAUUGCAGCAUUUCUGCUUAUAAAUGUACACAAUUAAAUGAUAUAAUUAUAAAGCCACAUGCUAUUUACACCAAAUACCAAUACCAUAUAUAGGACGAACCGAUAAAUGAAUAUUUUUCCAAAAAUUCACUUAAAUACCACAGAACUAUAAACUAUAAAAGUCCAUUGCAGAGCAGACCGAAAGAAUGGUAAAAAUAUAUUAGCACACCAAAUAUGUAUAUUUAGUAAUUGAGUUUUGAAACAAUAACAAUAACAAUAAAUAUAUGCAUAUACAUAUGAAGCUUAAACUAUGGUAAACAUCAGUGCAAACAAAUAUUAAUUCACUUUAUUUUAUG